rnacentral:lncRNA from 1 species
CUUUUUGUAGUAACAUCCAUUUGUCCAGCAUAUGUAGAAUAUUAGAUUUUUUGGCUGUUUAUCGUAGUUCGUUCUCAAGGUUUGGAAAAUUCUUUAGCUAUAUUCCUUGUCUCAAGCGAGCAUGAGCAAUAUCUUCUUUAUGCCGCAUGCCGCCAAGUUUCUCUAUUUUAGAUGGUUGUGUAAAUUUUGCUUCUAAAAAGGGAUAUGUAUUUUAUUAAUCUGACUAUAAUUUGUGGUAGGUACAUACUGAAGGAUGUUCUGAGGCUAGCACCUGGUUUAGAAGUUUUACAAUUCACAACAAUACCUCAUAAUUUUGAUUUGAUGUCCAGAAUGUAAAUUGAAGAAUGAGCCUAUGAAUUGCAUUGUAUUUUGUAAUGUAUCCUUAUAUAUGGUGCUUGUGGCUGGUUUUUUUGCAAUUAUAAGUUUAUGUUUAUGGGUAUUAUAGAGUCCUUUCUUUUUCUACAAGGGGCAGUAGCCGUGUCAUUCGAUUCGAAGGACAAAGAGUUGAUCACAAAGGGGUAGCACUCAGGAUAUAUACACAAGAGUAUAGAACCAAAUUAUAUGAUGUAAUUGACCACUAUUUCUAUUAACUUCUCCUGUACAAAUGUUCACGAGUUCAUGUAUUAAGUACAUUUUAUUGUGUCACUUGUGUUUUCUCUUUUUUAAUGCAAGUUUACAGCUACUCGGAGUUCCUAAUUGCAGACUCAACUAUUUUGACCUACCGAUGAUCUAAUUUGUGGCAUUAUUACCUUCAAAAAAUAUUUGCAUUUAAUUUCCUUUAUGUAUAGGGGUAUAAGUUCUUACCAAAUGUACUCAAAUAUA